rnacentral:rRNA from 1 species
UUUCCUACGGGACGCAGCAGUGGGGGAUAUUGCACAAUGGGGGGAACCCUGAUGCAGCGAUGCCGCGUGGGCGAUGGAGUGCUUCGGCAUGUAAAGCCCUAUCAGCAGGGAAGAAAAUGACGGUACCUGACUAAGAAGCUCCGGCUAAAUACGUGCCAGCAGCCGCGGUAAUACGUAUGGAGCAAGCGUUAUCCGGAUUUACUGGGUGUAAAGGGAGCGCAGACGGCAAGGCAAGUCUGAUGUGAAAGUCCGAGGCUCAACCUCGGGACUGCAUUGGAAACUGUCUGGCUAGAGUGCAGGAGAGG